rnacentral:tRNA from 1 species
AUCAACAUAGUUUAAUAAAAACACUAGGAGGUGGGGCUUCUAAUAGAAGCUAAAACCUUCUUGUUGAU